rnacentral:rRNA from 1 species
GAUGAACGCUGACAGAAUGCUUAACACAUGCAAGUCAACUUGAACUUCGGUUUGGGUGGCGGACGGGUGAGUAACGCGUAAAGAACUUGCCUCACAGUUAGGGACAACAUUUGGAAACGAAUGCUAAUACCUGAUAUUAUGAUUUUAGGGCAUCCUAGAAUUAUGAAAGCUAUAUGCGCUGUGAGAGAGCUUUGCGUCCCAUUAGCUAGUUGGAGAGGUAACGGCUCACCAAGGCGAUGAUGGGUAGCCGGCCUGAGAGGGUGAACGGCCACAAGGGGACUGAGACACGGCCCUUACUCCUACGGGAGGCAGCAGUGGGGAAUAUUGGACAAUGGACCAAGAGUCUGAUCCAGCAAUUCUGUGUGCACGAUGAAGUUUUUCGGAAUGUAAAGUGCUUUCAGUUGGGAAGAAAAAAAUGACGGUACCAACAGAAGAAGUGACGGCUAAAUACGU